AAGACUAUAUUUUCAGAAAUGAUUUCUAUAGUUCUUUAUUAGGAAAUGUGUUUUGAAAGUGUUUGUCUCCCAACCCAUGAUGAUGAGCUAUAAUACUCCUUUCUGAGAGCGAAUUGAGAACAGAACUGUGGCUUUGGGAGUAUGAUCUGAGUGGU
rnacentral:snoRNA from 1 species